rnacentral:rRNA from 1 species
GGAUAAACGCUGGCGGCGUGCCUUAUGCAUGCAAGUCGUACGGGGUUAUCCCGCAAGGGAUUGCCUAGUGGCGAACGGGUGAGUAACACGUAGGUGACCUGCCCAAAAGUGGGGAAUAACUACCCGAAAGGGUAGCUAAUACCGCAUGUGGAUAGCUGUUCAUUCAGUUAUCUAAAGUCGAAAGGCGCUUUUGGAGGGGCCUGCGGCCGAUUAGCUAGUUGGUAGGGUAAUGGCCUACCAAGGCGAGGAUCGGUAGCUGGUCUGAGAGGAUGGUCAGCCACACUGGGACUGAGAUACGGCCCAGACUCCUACGGGAGGCAGCAGCAAGGAAUUUUGGGCAAUGGGCGAAAGCCUGACCCAGCAACGCCGCGUGGGCGAUGAAGGCCUUCGGGUCGUAAAGCCCUUUUCUGCGGGAAGAGAAUGGACGGUACCGCAGGAAUAAGCCUCGGCUAACUACGUGCCAGCAGCCGCGGUAAUACGUAGGAGGCGAGCGUUGUCCGGAUUUACUGGGCGUAAAGAGCGCGUAGGCGGUUUGCUCAGUCGGAUGUGAAAUCUCCCGGCCCAACUGGGAGGGUGCGUCCGAUACUGGUAGACUUGAGGGCAGCAGAGGAAAGUGGAAUUCCCGGUGUAGUGGUGAAAUGCGUAGAUAUCGGGAGGAACACCAGUGGCGAAAGCGACUUUCUGGGCUGUUCCUGACGCUGAGGCGCGAAAGCGUGGGUAGCGAACUGAAUUAGAUACUCAGGUAGUCCACGCCCUAAACGAUGGACACUAGGUGUGGGGAGUAUCGACCCUCUCUGUGCCGAAGCUAACGCGAUAAGUGUCCCGCCUGGGGAGUACGGCCGCAAGGCUAAAACUCAAAGGAAUUGACGGGGGCCCGCACAAGCAGCGGAGCGCGUGGUUUAAUUCGACGCAACGCGCAGAACCUUACCAGGGCUUGACAUGCAGUUGAAAAGUCUAGAGAUAGGCUCCUCCUUCGGGACAAUUGCACAGAUGCUGCAUGGCUGUCGUCAGCUCGUGCCGUGAGGUGUUGGGUUAAGUCCCGCAACGAGCGCAACCCCCAUGGCUAGUUGUAUUCUCUAGUCAGACUGCCGCGCUAAACGUGGAGGAAGGUGGGGAUGACGUCAAGUCAGCACGGCUCUUACGUCCUGGGCUACACACACGCUACAAUGGGUGGUACAGAGGGUUGCCAAGCCGCGAGGUGGAGCUAAUCCCAAAAAACUACCCUCAGUUCAGACUGCAGGCUGAAACUCGCCUGCACGAAGUCGGAGUUGCUAGUAACCGCAGGUCAGCACACUGCGGUGAAUAUGUUCCCGGGCCUUGUACACACCGCCCGUCACGUCAUGAAAGCUGGUAACACUUGAAGUCGCUGGGCUAACCCGCAAGGGAGGCAGGUGCCGAGGGUGGGACUAGUGAUUGGGACGAAGUCGUAACAAGGUA